rnacentral:lncRNA from 1 species
UUUUUUAGAGAGUUAGAGAGAGAAAGUGGGAGCAAGAGGAUGAAAGGGUUAGAGAGAAGAGGACUUGAAGAAUCAAGGAUUGGGAGAAGAGCUAGGAGCAAAAUUGAAGUCUAAGCUAGAGAGAUUAACCUAACUAAGGUAAGAGGGUUAGAAUUCAUCAUAAUCACUUAUUGCAAUUUUUUCAAUUAUGGUAUGAAUAAGUGCUUAAUUGUGUAAUUGAUUAAUUGUUCAUAAUUGUUAGAAUUCGUGCUCCAAUUAUGAUGACAUGUUUGUAUAUAUGAAGUUAUGAUAAUUGAAUUGUUGUUGGUGAAACUUCAUGAUCAAAGUAUGUGAAAAGUGGGUUAUGUGAAAAUAUGCUCAAUUGGUGAAUUAUGCUAUGUUGUUGUUAAAUUGUGAUAAGUUUCAUGAUCAAUGGAUGUUGUUGUUGUUAAGUGAUGUUAUGGAUGUUAAUUCAUGGCUUGGGUAUGCAUUAUUCAUAAUUUGUUGUUGUGAAAUAAGUUGUUGUUGUUGUGAAAUAAGUUGUUGUUGUUGUUUUGGUGAAAAUGGGUACUUAUGAGUUUUGCUCAAAUUGUUGGAUUGAGAUAUUAUGUUGUUGAAUUAUGGUUGAAUUCAUGUCUAAAUGAAGUGUUGUUGAAUUAGAUAUGUUGUUGUUGUUGAAUCAUACCAUGGGUAUUUCAUUUUAUGAAGUUGUUGUUUGUAUUGGUGAAGUUGUGCUAGAUGUUCAUGUGAAGGACCCAAAAUGAAAUUUGAUAUACAAAGUUGUUGUCUGAGUUGUCGAUGUGGUUGGAUGAGUUAAACUUGAUGGAAUUUCUGUUUUUAUGUUGUAGUUGUGAUAGUCGAGUCGUUUGGGAGAAAUCGGGAGUUUCAGGUGAAAAUUCAAUUGUUAACCGUUUUGGAAAAAUGAGUGUUUGUGUAAGGCUUUGGAAAAUGAAUUUGGGGUUGUUGAACUUGAAUUUUUCUGUACAUUAAGAUAGGGCUAAGUGUCAAGAACAUGUAGGUGAAAACGGCAUCGAAAACGGAUUAACGGUUUGAUUUUUAUGCGCGAAAACGUGAAGAUUGAAAAUCUGGUGCUGUCUGUCAAACUAUGAUCGUGCCACGAUUCGGGGCCAACGUGCCACGAUUUUGAUCAGGAUUUCAGUCUUUCUGAUCCUGGAAAAAUCGUGCCACGAUGGGAAACCAACGUGCCACGAUGUUGUCUUUCUAAAAACCUUAAAAAUGCAAUUUUCUUUGAUCCAAUUGUUUCCAAACUUAUUUCUAAGUAUAUGGACUUUAUCCUAAUCAUCUAGGGGUGUUUUUAUGAAAGAAUUAACCUUGUGUAAAGGGUCUAGUGAGUCCUUGUGUUGCUUUGUUGUGAGAAUUAUCAACGUCGGCCGUUUGCCACUUGAUACGGUAUUGUCGGAAAUGGUUCUUUCAAGUCAAUUACCUUAUGAAUUGUUGUGGUUACUCUUAUAUGACUAAGUAAAUUUGUAUGAAUGAAUGAUUGUAUUGGAUAUGAUGUUUAUCAUGUGAUGUGUAUGCUAUCUUGAUUAGAAUGUAAGAAAUGCUUGAAAUGGCGAAACUAUAUGAGAUAGUUAAUGUUGAAUGACAUUGUUGAUUAUUGAUAGUCAUGUUGAUGUGGUGAUGAUGAAUCUUAUAAUUUGAUUGUGUAUGGACAUGUUUUCUUGAUAAUGCAAAUGUUGUGGAGAUAAUCAAUAUAAUUGGGUGUUGUCCUAUAUAUCGAGGUGAAAAUUGUGGAUUGUUGUUGUAACGCCCACUUUUGUUAAUUGCUUAUUUAAUCGAGUUUAGGCGAUUAUAUUAUAUUUAUGUAAUAUAUGCAUGAUUUUGGUAUGAUUUGAAUGAUUUACGAUUAUAUUGAUGGUUUGAUUGAUAUUGUGAUAAGUUAUGAGUUUUGGAAGAUUUGAUAAGAUUAAGGGAUUUAUUUUAUUGUUAAAUAAAAUAAAGAUUUGAAAAUAAUAUAAAAUAUUUAGUUGAGGGCUGUUUUGAUAUUUUAGAUAGUUUUGGGGGAGAAAGUGAGAUAAGAUAAGUAAUUAAGAGGAGAUAUAAAAGAGUUAGACCUAGUUUUAGAAAAACAUUGUUGUACGUACGUUUUUGGAGAAAAAGGGAGAAAAAGCCAAGAGAAGAGAAACCAAGAGGGAGAUCUGCGAUUUUCUGCAAUUUAAGGUAAGGGUGAGACUAAUAACUCAGUAAUGUUAAUUGAUUGUGAUUCUGAUGAUUAGUUAACAAGCUUUAGGAUUGAAUUGGAGAAAAACGAAAACUAGGUCAAAUCCCUAAAAUUGAUGAUCAAACGGUAGGAAUUGGUUUAAUUGAUGUAGAAAGUGCUCCUAGACCUUAGAUAAUGUUUAGGACGAACUUUGGAAUCAAUAUCAGGCUUAGAACCGUGAGAAUCGUUGAAUUUUUGUGAAAAUAGGAAGUCUGGCUGUAGCGACAUUCAUCGCUCGCCACGCGAGCCUUUUCCCUUCACCUCGCGAGUUCUUUUGGUAUUGCUCGCCUCGCGAGUUGUGCAAUGCAGCUCGCCAUAGCGAGCAACCUUACUCGCCAUAGCGAGCUAAGGCAGAGAGCAUGUUAGAUUUUGUGUUUUCGACUUUUUAGUUGGACCUUGAGUGCCUAUGAGUGCCUGAACAUACCUAGUAAUGAUUAUGGAUUAAUGUAGGACAAGAUUGGACCCAGAACAACUUUAGUUUGGGAAUUGUUUGGUACUCGCCAUGGCGAGUAAGAAUCCUCGCCUCGCGAGCACUUCCAGGUUGGAGUAUAAGGAGUGUUUGUGCGAUCUGUGUCGCACGUUCAGAUCAAGAGUGAACCCCCUUAUGGUAAUGAGACCUAAUGACGACGUUUAAUGCAGUCUGUAAAGCUGUUUAAGAUAUGUUGAUAUUAAUUGAGCAUGAUUAAUGUAUUGUACAAUUAUGUAAGAUAUGAAAGUUUAAUUAUGAUGCAAUUGAUUUGCUAUUGAUAUAAUGAUAUCAUUAUGUUAUGUGACUUGACUAUGCUGCUGCUGUUAUUUAACUAAGUGCAUAAUGUCUAUAUAUGAUGACGAUUGGUACCACAUGCAUAUAAGGAGUCUAAGAGCAUUGUCACAUUGUCAUGUCUAUAAUGCUAUGUUGUUGAUGACGAUUGAAUAUGUGAAUACGUGAUACUUGUUUAUUGAAUAUGCAAAGUUGUCUAUGAAUGAUGAUGUGAUUACGUGAUAAUUGUUUAUCAAAUAUGCAAAAUUACUUAAGAUUGGUUAUGAUGUUAAUGUUAAUUAUGAUUCGAAUUACUUUGAUUAACAUUAUUUUGUUAUGAAAUCUCACCCCUUCUGCUUGAAAAUGUUGCCCUUCGUAUGGGUAACUUGCAGGUGAUCGUGCUUAGUGUGCAGUCUCCGUCGUGAGUGGCCUUGCCUUCACUGUGUCGUCUACGUCGCUCUGAUACGUAACGGGAUGAGGCUUUAUGUUAUGCAUGCUUCGUUCUAUUACGUGAAUAAUAUGCUAUUUGUUUAUUGAACUAACUCUUUUGAGAUUACUUUGAUGGGGUCUGCGUGCCAAAACGUUUUAUGAUUAUGAUAUAAUUUCCGCUGC